GAUGAUGAAACUCCUUUCGGGCACUGAUCCGUGAUGAAGGCCCUCCUAUCUGAGC
rnacentral:snoRNA from 14 species